CCUACGGGAGGCAGCAGUGGGGAAUUUUGGACAAUGGGCGCAAGCCUGAUCCAGCAAUGCCGCGUGUGUGAAGAAGGCCUGCGGGUUGUAAAGCACUUUAAGCGGGAAAGAAGGCCUGGCGGUUAAUACCCGUUGGGAUUGACGUUACCCGCAGAAUAAGCACCGGCUAACUCCGUGCCAGCAGCCGCGGUAAU
rnacentral:rRNA from 1 species